CUGCAUUCUUGGUUCUUACACAGUGAACGACAGGUCAGCUUUGCUAUGCAUAGAAUAUCUCCCUUACUUAGAAUAAGUGGAUCAGAUUAGCAAAAGUUGCAGCUUGGGAAGUGAAAUCAUCUCACAUUCUCAUAUUCAUGCAACAAAAAAUUCAUUGAACAAGAAGGAUGGUGUGUAAUGAAAUAUUGGAAGCAACAGUCGCAAUAUACCUCCAUAGAAAAUUAGCAGUCUAGUUUAUUCAUCAUCCACCACAGGUUUAAUUAAAAGACUAUUUGAUUAAAAUUCAAAGCAAAGAAUCAGGUUAAAAUGGAAGAGAAAACAACAAGAACCUAGAAAAUAGAAGAGACAAGAAAAUAGAUAUGCACAAACACUAUAAUGCAUGUCCAAGCAGUCCAACUAGUGCUCAAACUGCCCCUUGCAAAUUCACACGGUGGCAUCUGGACUGUCAUACUUCUUACCUCUCUUAGCAGCUUUGCUCUGGUUCUUCUACUAACGCAUUAAAUAGCAACUCAGGUCUUAUGCCUAUAACUAGAAAAGCUUUCCUGGUUGUUGUACUCCACUUCUCAUCAUAGUGCAGAAUUCUUCAUAGUUGAUUUUCCCAUCAUUAUCUGUAUCCACCUCAGAAAUUAUUUCCUUAAUACUGGCCUCAUCUCCCAUACCAUACUCCAUCAUGGCAGACUCUAAUUCAUCUCUUGUUAUAUACCCACUGCUAUCCUUAUCAAAGUACUGAAAUGCUUUGUAUAGAUGCUCAUCUCUUUCCAGUCGAUAUCUAUGCAUUGUAGCAGAGAUAAACUCAAUGUAGUCGAUUGUUCCAUUUCCAUCCACAUCG
rnacentral:misc_RNA from 1 species